rnacentral:rRNA from 2 species
UUGCUAGUAAUCGCGGAUCAGCAUGCCGCGGUGAAUCCGUUCCCGGGCCUUGUACACACCGCCCGUCACACCACGAGAGUUUGUAACACCCGAAGUCGGUGUGGGAACCUUUAUGGACCCAGCCGCCGAAGGUGGGACAAAUGAUUGGGGUGAAGUCGUAACAAGGUAGCCGUAUCGGAAGGUGCGGCUGGAUCACCUCCUUUCU